GUUACAUUCUCGCACAAGUGACAUGUACUGUAAACAAAUUACAUUCUCCGUGUAUACGCACCGAAAGGCUUUAAAGUUUGCCCAAUUGAUCGGAGAGACGUUUUCAUUAACUCUUACUAUACAACUAGUGCUAAAUACAAUAAUGAUCAGCAUUACAUUGUUACAAGUCACGCAACAGCAAGCCGG